rnacentral:rRNA from 2 species
AGCGUACACGGUGGAUGCCCUGGCAGUCAGAGGCGAUGAAGGACGUGCUAAUCUGCGAUAAGCGUCGGUGAGGUGAUAUGAACCGUUAUAACCGGCGAUUUCCGAAUGGGGAAACCCAGUGUGUUUCGACACACUAUCAUUAACUGAAUCCAUAGGUUAAUGAGGCGAACCGGGGGAACUGAAACAUCUAAGUACCCCGAGGAAAAGAAAUCAACCGAGAUUCCCCCAGUAGCGGCGAGCGAACGGGGAGGAGCCCAGAGCCUGAAUCAGUGUGUGUGUUAGUGGAAGCGUCUGGAAAGGCGCGCGAUACAGGGUGACAGCCCCGUACACAAAAAUGCACAUAUUGUGAGCUCGAUGAGUAGGGCGGGACACGUGGUAUCCUGUCUGAAUAUGGGGGGACCAUCCUCCAAGGCUAAAUACUCCUGACUGACCGAUAGUGAACCAGUACCGUGAGGGAAAGGCGAAAAGAACCCCGGCGAGGGGAGUGAAAAAGAACCUGAAACCGUGUACGUACAAGCAGUGGGAGCCUCUUAAUGGGGUGACUGCGUACCUUUUGUAUAAUGGGUCAGCGACUUAUAUUCUGUAGCAAGGUUAACCGAAUAGGGGAGCCGAAGGGAAACCGAGUCUUAACUGGGCGUUAAGUUGCAGGGUAUAGACCCGAAACCCGGUGAUCUAGCCAUGGGCAGGUUGAAGGUUGGGUAACACUAACUGGAGGACCGAACCGACUAAUGUUGAAAAAUUAGCGGAUGACUUGUGGCUGGGGGUGAAAGGCCAAUCAAACCGGGAGAUAGCUGGUUCUCCCCGAAAGCUAUUUAGGUAGCGCCUCGUGAAUUCAUCUCCGGGGGUAGAGCACUGUUUCGGCAAGGGGGUCAUCCCGACUUACCAACCCGAUGCAAACUGCGAAUACCGGAGAAUGUUAUCACGGGAGACACACGGCGGGUGCUAACGUCCGUCGUGAAGAGGGAAACAACCCAGACCGCCAGCUAAGGUCCCAAAGUCAUGGUUAAGUGGGAAACGAUGUGGGAAGGCCCAGACAGCCAGGAUGUUGGCUUAGAAGCAGCCAUCAUUUAAAGAAAGCGUAAUAGCUCACUGGUCGAGUCGGCCUGCGCGGAAGAUGUAACGGGGCUAAACCAUGCACCGAAGCUGCGGCAGCGACACUAUGUGUUGUUGGGUAGGGGAGCGUUCUGUAAGCCUGUGAAGGUGGCCUGUGAGGGUUGCUGGAGGUAUCAGAAGUGCGAAUGCUGACAUAAGUAACGAUAAAGCGGGUGAAAAGCCCGCUCGCCGGAAGACCAAGGGUUCCUGUCCAACGUUAAUCGGGGCAGGGUGAGUCGACCCCUAAGGCGAGGCCGAAAGGCGUAGUCGAUGGGAAACAGGUUAAUAUUCCUGUACUUGGUGUUACUGCGAAGGGGGGACGGAGAAGGCUAUGUUGGCCGGGCGACGGUUGUCCCGGUUUAAGCGUGUAGGCUGGUUUUCCAGGCAAAUCCGGAAAACCAAGGCUGAGGCGUGAUGACGAGGCACUACGGUGCUGAAGUGACAAAUGCCCUGCUUCCAGGAAAAGCCUCUAAGCAUCAGGUAACAUCAAAUCGUACCCCAAACCGACACAGGUGGUCAGGUAGAGAAUACCAAGGCGCUUGAGAGAACUCGGGUGAAGGAACUAGGCAAAAUGGUGCCGUAACUUCGGGAGAAGGCACGCUGAUAUGUAGGUGAAGCGACUUGCUCGUGGAGCUGAAAUCAGUCGAAGAUACCAGCUGGCUGCAACUGUUUAUUAAAAACACAGCACUGUGCAAACACGAAAGUGGACGUAUACGGUGUGACGCCUGCCCGGUGCCGGAAGGUUAAUUGAUGGGGUUAGCGGUAACGCGAAGCUCUUGAUCGAAGCCCCGGUAAACGGCGGCCGUAACUAUAACGGUCCUAAGGUAGCGAAAUUCCUUGUCGGGUAAGUUCCGACCUGCACGAAUGGCGUAAUGAUGGCCAGGCUGUCUCCACCCGAGACUCAGUGAAAUUGAACUCGCUGUGAAGAUGCAGUGUACCCGCGGCAAGACGGAAAGACCCCGUGAACCUUUACUAUAGCUUGACACUGAACAUUGAGCCUUGAUGUGUAGGAUAGGUGGGAGGCUUUGAAGUGUGGACGCCAGUCUGCAUGGAGCCGACCUUGAAAUACCACCCUUUAAUGUUUGAUGUUCUAACGUUGGCCCGUAAUCCGGGUUGCGGACAGUGUCUGGUGGGUAGUUUGACUGGGGCGGUCUCCUCCUAAAGAGUAACGGAGGAGCACGAAGGUUGGCUAAUCCUGGUCGGACAUCAGGAGGUUAGUGCAAUGGCAUAAGCCAGCUUGACUGCGAGCGUGACGGCGCGAGCAGGUGCGAAAGCAGGUCAUAGUGAUCCGGUGGUUCUGAAUGGAAGGGCCAUCGCUCAACGGAUAAAAGGUACUCCGGGGAUAACAGGCUGAUACCGCCCAAGAGUUCAUAUCGACGGCGGUGUUUGGCACCUCGAUGUCGGCUCAUCACAUCCUGGGGCUGAAGUAGGUCCCAAGGGUAUGGCUGUUCGCCAUUUAAAGUGGUACGCGAGCUGGGUUUAGAACGUCGUGAGACAGUUCGGUCCCUAUCUGCCGUGGGCGCUGGAGAACUGAGGGGGGCUGCUCCUAGUACGAGAGGACCGGAGUGGACGCAUCACUGGUGUUCGGGUUGUCAUGCCAAUGGCACUGCCCGGUAGCUAAAUGCGGAAGAGAUAAGUGCUGAAAGCAUCUAAGCACGAAACUUGCCCCGAGAUGAGUUCU